rnacentral:rRNA from 1 species
UUACUGACGCUAAAGCUCGAAGGUGCGGGUAUCGAACAGGAUUAGAUACCCUGGUAGUCCGCACGGUAAACGAUGGAUGCCCGCUGUUUGCGAUAUAUUGUAAGCGGCCAAGAGAAAUCGUUAAGCAUCCCACCUGGGGAGUACGCCGGCAACGGUGAAACUCAAAGGAAUUGACGGGGGCCCGCACAAGCGGAGGAACAUGUGGUUUAAUUCGAUGAUACGCGAGGAACCUUACCCGGGCUUGAACUGCAGCGGAAGGAAACAGAGAUGUUGACGUCCUUCGGGACCGCUGUGGAGGUGCUGCAUGGUUGUCGUCAGCUCGUGCCGUGAGGUGUCGGCUUAAGUGCCAUAACGAGCGCAACCCUUUUCAUCAGUUGCCAUCAGGUGAUGCUGGGCACUCUGUUGAUACUGCCACCGUAAGGUGUGAGGAAGGUGGGGAUGACGUCAAAUCAGCACGGCCUUUACGUCCGGGGCUACACACGUGUUACAAUGGGGCAUACAGAAGGCUGGAUCAUGGCAACAUGUUUCAAAUCUUUAAAGUGCUCCUCAGUUCGGAUUGGGGUCUGCAACCCGACCCCAUGAAGCUGGAUCGCUAGUAAUC